rnacentral:lncRNA from 13 species
UCUGGAGAGGAGUAAGGCCCACUGUCCACUUCUGGAUUGGAUGCCGAGGAGGACUGGCAUGGGCCUGUGGCUGGAGGCCCAGACCGGAUGUCAGGAAAGCGGAGGCCCCUUCCCAGGCCUGUGCACCACGCCUCUGCAGUGGCUCCAGGAGUUUUUGAAAUGGAAUGCCAGGUGGUGGGAACACAACAAAUAAUCCGACACAACCCUGCUCUGGAGAACUUGGACUUCACUGGAGGAGACAGACUCAGAAAUGAAGACCUAGAAUUUGUGGGACCAGUCCGGGUGGCUGAGUCUACUGAGCAACCUGCGCACAUUCAAGGGCGGGGAGGAGGGCUGAUGGGACAGAUGAGGAAAUGCCAGUGGAAAGUUUGAAGGGAGGGUAUGGCAGAGCCACAGAUGGAAGGAACAUGGGUCCUAGGACCUCGUAUGGAAUGCUGCCCAUAGAACUUCCUCACUGAAUGUCAAAAUGCAUGUAAAAUAUACUUGCACUGAUUUACGCCUCUGGUGUUGCUUCUGGUGCUGCUUGCUG